rnacentral:rRNA from 1 species
UUAAGCGACUAAGCGUACACGGUGGAUGCCCUGGCAGUCAGAGGCGAUGAAGGACGUGCUAAUCUGCGAUAAGCGUCGGUAAGGUGAUAUGAACCGUUAUAACCGGCGAUUUCCGAAUGGGGAAACCCAGUGUGUUUCGACACACUAUCAUUAACUGAAUCCAUAGGUUAAUGAGGCGAACCGGGGGAACUGAAACAUCUAAGUACCCCGAGGAAAAGAAAUCAACCGAGAUUCCCCCAGUAGCGGCGAGCGAACGGGGAGCAGCCCAGAGCCUGAAUCAGUGUGUGUGUUAGUGGAAGCGUCUGGAAAGGCGCGCGAUACAGGGUGACAGCCCCGUACACAAAAAUGCACAUAUUGUGAGCUCGAUGAGUAGGGCGGGACACGUGGUAUCCUGUCUGAAUAUGGGGGGACCAUCCUCCAAGGCUAAAUACUCCUGACUGACCGAUAGUGAACCAGUACCGUGAGGGAAAGGCGAAAAGAACCCCGGCGAGGGGAGUGAAAAAGAACCUGAAACCGUGUACGUACAAGCAGUGGGAGCCUCUUUUAUGGGGUGACUGCGUACCUUUUGUAUAAUGGGUCAGCGACUUAUAUUCUGUAGCAAGGUUAACCGAAUAGGGGAGCCGAAGGGAAACCGAGUCUUAACUGGGCGUUAAGUUGCAGGGUAUAGACCCGAAACCCGGUGAUCUAGCCAUGGGCAGGUUGAAGGUUGGGUAACACUAACUGGAGGACCGAACCGACUAAUGUUGAAAAAUUAGCGGAUGACUUGUGGCUGGGGGUGAAAGGCCAAUCAAACCGGGAGAUAGCUGGUUCUCCCCGAAAGCUAUUUAGGUAGCGCCUCGUGAAUUCAUCUCCGGGGGUAGAGCACUGUUUCGGCAAGGGGGUCAUCCCGACUUACCAACCCGAUGCAAACUGCGAAUACCGGAGAAUGUUAUCACGGGAGACACACGGCGGGUGCUAACGUCCGUCGUGAAGAGGGAAACAACCCAGACCGCCAGCUAAGGUCCCAAAGUCAUGGUUAAGUGGGAAACGAUGUGGGAAGGCCCAGACAGCCAGGAUGUUGGCUUAGAAGCAGCCAUCAUUUAAAGAAAGCGUAAUAGCUCACUGGUCGAGUCGGCCUGCGCGGAAGAUGUAACGGGGCUAAACCAUGCACCGAAGCUGCGGCAGCGACACUAUGUGUUGUUGGGUAGGGGAGCGUUCUGUAAGCCUGUGAAGGUGUGCUGUGAGGUAUGCUGGAGGUAUCAGAAGUGCGAAUGCUGACAUAAGUAACGAUAAAGCGGGUGAAAAGCCCGCUCGCCGGAAGACCAAGGGUUCCUGUCCAACGUUAAUCGGGGCAGGGUGAGUCGACCCCUAAGGCGAGGCCGAAAGGCGUAGUCGAUGGGAAACAGGUUAAUAUUCCUGUACUUGGUGUUACUGCGAAGGGGGGACGGAGAAGGCUAUGUUGGCCGGGCGACGGUUGUCCCGGUUUAAGCGUGUAGGCUGGUUUUCCAGGCAAAUCCGGAAAAUCAAGGCUGAGGCGUGAUGACGAGGCACUACGGUGCUGAAGCAACAAAUGCCCUGCUUCCAGGAAAAGCCUCUAAGCAUCAGGUAACAUCAAAUCGUACCCCAAACCGACACAGGUGGUCAGGUAGAGAAUACCAAGGCGCUUGAGAGAACUCGGGUGAAGGAACUAGGCAAAAUGGUGCCGUAACUUCGGGAGAAGGCACGCUGAUAUGUAGGUGAAGCGACUUGCUCGUGGAGCUGAAAUCAGUCGAAGAUACCAGCUGGCUGCAACUGUUUAUUAAAAACACAGCACUGUGCAAACACGAAAGUGGACGUAUACGGUGUGACGCCUGCCCGGUGCCGGAAGGUUAAUUGAUGGGGUCAGCGCAAGCGAAGCUCUUGAUCGAAGCCCCGGUAAACGGCGGCCGUAACUAUAACGGUCCUAAGGUAGCGAAAUUCCUUGUCGGGUAAGUUCCGACCUGCACGAAUGGCGUAAUGAUGGCCAGGCUGUCUCCACCCGAGACUCAGUGAAAUUGAACUCGCUGUGAAGAUGCAGUGUACCCGCGGCAAGACGGAAAGACCCCGUGAACCUUUACUAUAGCUUGACACUGAACAUUGAGCCUUGAUGUGUAGGAUAGGUGGGAGGCUUUGAAGUGUGGACGCCAGUCUGCAUGGAGCCGACCUUGAAAUACCACCCUUUAAUGUUUGAUGUUCUAACGUUGACCCGUGAUCCGGGUUGCGGACAGUGUCUGGUGGGUAGUUUGACUGGGGCGGUCUCCUCCUAAAGAGUAACGGAGGAGCACGAAGGUUGGCUAAUCCUGGUCGGACAUCAGGAGGUUAGUGCAAUGGCAUAAGCCAGCUUGACUGCGAGCGUGACGGCGCGAGCAGGUGCGAAAGCAGGUCAUAGUGAUCCGGUGGUUCUGAAUGGAAGGGCCAUCGCUCAACGGAUAAAAGGUACUCCGGGGAUAACAGGCUGAUACCGCCCAAGAGUUCAUAUCGACGGCGGUGUUUGGCACCUCGAUGUCGGCUCAUCACAUCCUGGGGCUGAAGUAGGUCCCAAGGGUAUGGCUGUUCGCCAUUUAAAGUGGUACGCGAGCUGGGUUUAGAACGUCGUGAGACAGUUCGGUCCCUAUCUGCCGUGGGCGCUGGAGAACUGAGGGGGGCUGCUCCUAGUACGAGAGGACCGGAGUGGACGCAUCACUGGUGUUCGGGUUGUCAUGCCAAUGGCACUGCCCGGUAGCUAAAUGCGGAAGAGAUAAGUGCUGAAAGCAUCUAAGCACGAAACUUGCCCCGAGAUGAGUUCUCCCUGACUCCUUGAGAGUCCUGAAGGAACGUUGAAGACGACGACGUUGAUAGGCCGGGUGUGUAAGCGCAGCGAUGCGUUGAGCUAACCGGUACUAAUGAACCGUGAGGCUUAACCUU